rnacentral:rRNA from 1 species
CGGCACGGGUGAGUAACACGUAUCCAACCUGCCGUCUACUCUUGGACAGCCUUCUGAAAGGAAGAUUAAUACAAGAUGGCAUCAUGAGUCCACAUGUUCACAUGAUUAAAGGUAUUCCGGUAGACGAUGGGGAUGCGUUCCAUUAGUUUGUUGGCGGGGUAACGGCCCACCAAGACUACGAUGGAUAGGGGUUCUGAGAGGAAGGUCCCCCACAUUGGAACUGAGACACGGUCCAA